rnacentral:rRNA from 1 species
CGCCUCUUGACAAAACAUAAGAGGUCCAGCCUGCCCAGUGACAAAGUUUAACGGCCGCGGUAUCCUAACCGUGCGAAGGUAGCAUAAUCACUUGUUCUUUAAAUAAGGACUAGUAUCAACGGCAUCACGAGGGCCAUACUGUCUCCUCUCUUCAAUCAGUGAAACUGAUCUCCCCGUGAAGAAGCGAGGAUACAGUUAUAAGACGAGAAGACCCCAUGGAGCUUUAAGCAACAUUUUCACCUUUUAUCUUUAAAUCAACCUAAUAGAAAGAGUUGAAUCUUAGCUUUAGGUUGGGGGGACCGCGGAGUACAAACUAACCUCCACGACAAACGGGCAACGCCCUUAUCCACGAACUACAACUCUAAGAAUCAGAACACUGAUGUUUAUUGACCCAUCUUAUGAUCAACGAACCAAGUUACCCUGGGGAUAACAGCGCAAUCUACUUCAAGAGCCCCUAUCGACAAGUAGGUUUACGACCUCGAUGUUGGAUCAGGGCAUCCCAGUGGUGCAGCCGCUACUAAAGGUUCGUUUGUUCAACGAUUAAAGCCCU